rnacentral:rRNA from 1 species
AGAGUUUGAUCCUGGCUCAGGACGAACGCUGGCGGCGUGCUUAACACAUGCAAGUCGCACGAGGACCAGGGAGCUUGCUCCCUGUAGCCGAGUGGCGGACGGGUGAGUAACACGUGACCAAUCUAUCCCAGGGCGAGGGACAACCGGGGGAAACUCCGGCUAAUACCGCAUGAUGUGUGACUGGCGCAUGCCUAUCACAUCAAAGGGAGCCUAUGCUUGCAAGCUUCUGCCCAGGGAGGAGGUCGCGGCGCAUCAGCUGGUUGGUGGGGUAACGGCUCACCAAGGCUACGACGCGUAGCGGGUCUGAGAGGACGACCCGUCACAUUGGGACUGAGAUACGGCCCAGACUCCUACGGGAGGCAGCAGUGGGGAAUAUUGCGCAAUGGACGAAAGUCUGACGCAGCGACGCCGCGUGUGGGAGGAAGCCCUUCGGGGUGUAAACCACUGUCAGAGGGGAAGAACGCUGUCUGUUCUAAUAGGGCAGGCAAGUGACGGUACCUUCACAGGAAGCGCCGGCUAACUCCGUGCCAGCAGCCGCGGUAAGACGGAGGGCGCAAGCGUUGUUCGGAAUUACUGGGCGUAAAGCGCGGGCAGGCGGCCUGUUAAGUCUACUGUGAAAACCCGGGGGCUCAACCCCGGGAAUGCAGUG